GGCCUGGUGGUGCAAUGGUAACACAUCUUCGAUAUUUGAGGUUAAACAUCUUGGGACCUGUUUAAGGAUGUUCCCUGUUCAAGUCAGGGUCAGGCCU